rnacentral:lncRNA from 1 species
CUGCCAUCUGAUCUAACUGAACCCUACCUCCUCCUCUCCCGAUGCUGUAGGGCCUGGAUGUGUAGGUGAGCCCCAAGAGUCAGAUGCACUUGUACCCCAUUCUCUACUCCCCACUUACCAAGAGCAGGAAGUGACUAACAUUGUUCCCCCCCCCCCACAACCCCCUACGCAACAGAAGACAGAAGGAGGCAGUUAAGAGAAGUUGUGAAUACUCACUCCGCAAUGCCGUGGAAUAGAAGCCCCCUGAGCUCAUCCUACAUGACUCUCCUCCUCAGCCUGCUACUGUCUUCCCUCCAUGCCUUCCAGGCUACUCCUAUACCUUCCUUGUUCCAGCCCCAACCCUCAGUGGACAACAGACAGGGAAACCCACAGAUCCUCUGCCAGGUGCUGGGGAGCCCUGCGAGUGCCCACGUCCUAUCCUGGUACCAGCAACUCCCUGGGAAAGGCCCGACCUUUCUGCUGAGUCAAAGGGAAGGAGCUGCCCCAACCUACGGUCCUGGUGUGACCCCGCGCUUCCUGGCUGAGCUAGACCUUGAAAAGAACAGAGUCUGCCUCACUGUGGGCAAUGCCGGCCCUGAAGAUGUGGGCAUUUACUAUUGUGCUCUGUGGUAUGCCAGCCAGUACAUCUUUGGAGAAGGCACUUGGUUCCUCCAUCAGGCUGAGAGGUCAUCUCUGGUUCCUCAUCCUCCUCAGCUGACCCUGCUAACUUCAGGCCCUGCAUCUCUCAUACUGUGUGUGGCCCUGGGGCACCAGCCUGCCCCACUGAGGCUUUCCUGGGCCCUGGAGAGCCAGCUCCAGAAUGGGGGAGUGGAGGAGAGCCUGAUGGAGGACAUGGGUGACACUGUGGUCAGCACACUGCAUCUGUCCAACAGGACCCUAGCAGGCACUGUCAUCUGCAAGCCCGACCACGAGAGCGGGACCUCAGUGGCCACACUGAGGCUGCCUCCUUCCAAGAAGCAGGCUAAGUGUUUCUGGGACGCAGAGGCCUGGAAUGGGGGUCAGGAAAAUGACCAGAAUAUACUAGCCCAGCUGGAGUGGACCCUCACUUUUGCUCUGUAUUGCUACCUGGGGAUGCUAGGAGGAGCUAAGCUCUAUGCACUGCUUCUGGCUGUUCUACUGGCAACCCGAAAAUGCCCUGCUCUCUCUGCCGGUUCCCACACUCACCGGAGGUCCAAGGGAGGGCCAAGGUUCCAGACUGCUUCGACCUGAAGGCCCACCUUUUGUCAGCUUUCACAAACUUCUCCAACCUCAUCCUUUUUCCCAGACUUACCUUCGCCUACCGUCCCUGCAUCCAACCCCUCUACUCUCUCUUUCAGGCUCAAAAAAACCUUUAUAAAUAAAU